GACGAACGCUGGCGGCGUGCCUAACACAUGCAAGUCGAACGCGAAAGCGUCUUCGGACGUGAGUAGAGUGGCGUCCGGGUGAGUAACACGUAGGUAAUCUACCUUCGGGUGGGGAAUAACGCCUCGAAAGAGGCGCUAAUACCGCAUAACGCAGCGGCAGCUAAUGCUGAUUAGUUGUUAAAGCGGGGGAUCGAGAGAUCGGCCUCGCGCCUGAAGAGGAGCCUGCGGCAGAUUAGCUAGUUGGCGGGGUAACGGCCCACCAAGGCGACGAUCUGUAGCUGGUCUGAGAGGACGGCCAGCCACACUGGCACUGACACACGGGCCAGACUCCUACGGGAGGCAGCAGUUUCGAAUCAUUCACAAUGGGCGAAAGCCUGAUGGUGCGACGCCGCGUGAGGGA
rnacentral:rRNA from 1 species